rnacentral:lncRNA from 1 species
CCCUAAAACUUUUUGGUGAUUUUUAUGGACCAAAAGAAGACCAGCGAGCAUCGGAAGAAGGUUGGAGGCCUUACGAGGGGCCCACAAGCCAAUAGGGCACGGCCUGGGGGCACGCCCUUGUGGCUUGUGCCUCCCUCGUGGCCCUCCCGACUGUGUUCUUUGGCUUAUUAAUUCUCAUCUACCCUAAAAACACCAUGGGA